rnacentral:tRNA from 1 species
GUUAAUGUAGCUUAUCACUAAAGCAAGGCACUGAAAAUGCCUAGAUGAGUAUUAUUACUCCAUAAACA